UCCGGUUUGACACCGGCAGUCCCCUUAGAGUGCCCAGCAUAACCUGAUGGCAACUAAGGGUAAAGGUUUCGCUCGUUAAGGGACUUAACCCGACAUCUCACGACACGAGCUGACGACAGCCAUGCAGCACCUGUACUAGUUGUACCCCGAAGGGCCUACUCCGCUUUCACGGAGAUAAUCCUAGCAUGUCAAGCCCAGGUAAGGUUCUGCGCGUUGCUUCGAAUUGAACCACAUGCUCCACCGCUUGUGUGAGCCCCCGUCAAUUUCUUUGAGUUUUAGCCUUGCGACCGUACUUCCCAGGCGGUCGACUUAGCACUUUUGCUUCGACCGUGAUAACGUCAGAGCUACCACGAUCUAGUCGACAUCGUUUAUGGCCAGGACUAC
rnacentral:misc_RNA from 1 species